GACGAACGCUGGCGGCGUGCUUAACACAUGCAAGUCGAACGGUAAGGCCCUUCGGGGUACACGAGUGGCGAACGGGUGAGUAACACGUGGGUGAUCUACCCUGCACUUCGGGAUACGCCUGGGAAACUGGGUCUAAUACCGGAUAGGACCACUGCCUGCAUGGGUGGUGGUGGAAAGCUUUUGCGGUGUGGGAUGGGCCCGCGGCCUAUCAGCUUGUUGGUGGGGUGAUGGCCUACCAGGGCGACGACGGGUAGCCGGCCUGAGAGGGUGACCGGCCACACUGGGACUGAGAUACGGCCCAGACUCCUACGGGAGGCAGCAGUGGGGAAUAUUGCACAAUGGGCGCAAGCCUGAUGCAGCGACGCCGCGUGAGGGAUGACGGCCUUCGGGUUGUAAACCUCUUUCAGCACCGACGAAGCGCAAGUGAUGGUAGGUGCAGAAGAAGGACCGGCCAACUACGUGCCAGCCGCCGCGGUAA
rnacentral:rRNA from 1 species